CUACGGAGGAUCCGAGCGUUAUCCGGAAUUAUUGGGUUUAAAGGGUGCGUAGGCGGCGCGCUAAGUCAGGGGUGAAAGACGGUGGCUCAACCAUCGCAGUGCCUUUGAUACUGGCGCGCUUGAAUGUACCUGAGGUAGGCGGAAUGUGGCAAGUAGCGGUGAAAUGCAUAGAUAUGCCACAGAACACCGAUUGCGAAGGCAGCUUACCAAAGUACGAUUGACGCUGAGGCACGAAAGCGUGGGGAUCGAACAGGAUUAGAAACCCUAGUAGUCC
rnacentral:rRNA from 1 species